GUUCCUGUGCCACGGGGCAGUGAUGCCACCUGGUCCUCAGCCCACCAGGAAAGCACUCGGUGCUGCAGGAGCACAGGCUUCUGCUGGUGCCUGUGAUGGAGACACCUGGGGGCGUUGGCAGGAUUUUAUUUAAUGCUCUCAAUCGGCUGCUGGGGCUGUUGAGAAACAGGUGCCUGCAUCUCCUCUGGGGCCUGAGCCUGUCCUGGCCGCCGGGUGCUGCUGCAGGGGCUUGGAGUUUGCCUCGUCCUGCUGGCUGCUGCUGCUGCUCCCUGCCUGCCCCUGAGCACCUCAGUAGGAGUCUGCCAUUCCUUCAAGAAAGAGGCGUACUUGCCAAAACACCCAGAUGCCGCCUGACUUCUUUCUAGGAGACAAAAUAGGAGAGUCCCUUGUCUGUGCUGUGCUCCAAACUUGGCCAUGAGCAUGCAGAGAACAGGUGGGACUGUGCCCUUGCAUGGACUGGGCGGCUGGCGGGCCAGUAUGGGAGCAGACCGAAUUAACACAGAGGACACAAGUGGCACAUCCCAGAGCCCUGGCGGAGUCACCCUGAGCCGGUCGUACUGCCGUCCCUGCCGCCACCUCCUGCACGUGCUAUUCAAUGAGAAACAUUUCCAGAAACUUGCCAGCAGGGCGGUUCUCUAAGGAUGAACAUUUGCUGAAAGCCUGUUUUAAAGGAUGUGUGUGUAUUCAUAGAAACAGACCUUCGCAUUCUAACACACGACUGACUACAGUGGGAGUUGUCCUUCCCACAGCUACUGAGACGAAACUGGGCCUUGUUACUUAUUUUAUCAGUUGCAGAUAAGCAAGGUCUUUGUGGUUUUAGCUGUGGAUCCUCAGCUCUGCAGGGCACUGCCAGCCCCUCGGCACAGCAUCCUCCAGCUCCUCCUCCCGCUCCCCCCAGGCUGGGGCAGCUCCUUCUGCUCCGCGUUCAUGGCAGCACCUCCAGCUCCUGGGGACACAGAACCACAGCCCAGUUGUCACCAUACAGCAGAGGGAAUCUUUGGCAGCGUUUCAGUGCAUCACUAUGCCAGAAAGGUGCCUUUGGAAGACAGAAAUAAAUUGGAAGCAUGGGGAUUCAUUGUGAAAUGCCUGCCAGAGCUGCAGCCAUUCCUGCGAGCACUUCCUGAGCAGCUUAUGAAUACCCUGGAGAUGCAUGUCCCAGACAUCUGACGUUUAGGACCAGCAUCCCUUGCACGUUUGGCUGUGUGCAUCUUAGGCAGGCACCGUGACCCUGAAAGAAGCAGCUGCACAUCUGUUUCUGCUGAGCAGUCACCUGCGCGUGAUGCAGAAAGCACCGGAGCGACUUCGCUGUGAGCAACCAGAGCAAGAACUUGGGAGAGCCGGACUCUGGGAGUCUGUGAAGAUGGACUAUAUUUUUGGCAUAACAUCACUGACAGGAGUGUCUUGGGAGCUACAAAACAAUUUACAAAAUAUAUCAAGGUAUGAAACAUUAAUUUUUCAGUUUUCCCCACCCCUAUAUUUUGGGUGAAAUCUCUCUAAAACUCCCACCCAAGAAAUGAUAGAGAGAGAAACCCCUUCAGCUCGGCAUUCCCAGGUGGGAAUAGCUGAAAGCCAAGGCUUGAACAUUGCUCUGCCCCAUCCCAGAGGCUUGCUGGGGGUGCCAAAACCAGCCACGAACAGAUCAUCCUAGCUACAGAGCCACACGGCCAGGACCUUGUAUCCACCAUCCAACAUGGGCAGGCAUGGCAUCGCUGCUGCUGGCAUGCGAACGGCCCUUCGUCUGCCUGGGGUUUUCGUAUCUCUCUGUAUUUAGUGUUUUCUUGAACUGAAGAUCAAAAUGCAGCUGCUGGAUAAUGGCGUUGGGAAGAUGCCCUGUCUUCCCUGGGGGAUUUCCUCAGUAGGGAGGUGCUUGAUGUGGUGUAUCUGGGCACAAAAGGUUAAAGAGGGCCAGGGUGCUGCUUGUCCUUCCUCCUCUGCCUGCAGGAUGAUGGCAGGCCCUGCUGCUCUGACAGUGCUUGACACAGGUUUGGCAACAGAUAGCAGCAAAGUUCAGAACGACAUUUGGUGUUUCUUUAGUUGGCUUUGAAAGAUGUACAUUCAAAACAGUGAAAGCAAUGGGCCCAGCUGCAAAAUACUGAUCUUGUUCUGCAACUUCAUUUAGAUAAAUUACUUCUGUGAGUUACUAAUAAAAACAAAUGUUGGCUUGUGUCAGAAUUAGUGAGCAAUUCUGAUAACAGGAGCAUCUAUUUUUAGUUUUCUAUUAACCCAGUUCAGCCUAACAUCAAGUUGUAUUAAACUUAGAAGAUACAAAUAGGAUCCAUGCUGGUUGGUUAUUUGCCUCGAAAUAUGCCAAAAGCAUCUCUUCUGCUUCACGUAGCAGGUGGGAUAAAUGCGUAGCUGAAGGCAAGUUAUCUGUCAAGGCUCAAGCAACUCUUAUCAUCCGGUGUGUUAGUAGUGCGUGUUGAAGCAUUAAGUAGGGCAGCAGGCUCAAGCCAAGGAAUGAGAAUAGCAGAGGGCCACCAAAGAUGUGGACCAAGGACCCUGCCCUACAAAGAACAUUUCCACAGCUGGAACAGCUGCGCUUGGCUGGCUGCACGGCACGGCUCAUGGAAAAGCAGGCAGCCCGAGGCGCUUGUGCACGAUGCUGGGAAGGUUUUGGCAUGGCAGAUGCUGCCUCUGCAGAAGGAGGCAUGUUAUUAGGGACGUGUUAGCAUCUGCUUUUGAACAUUUCUGCUACUGAUGAUCGAGGAGGAAAUCACACACGGGAAGCUGAACGCCUGGUCCUGUGUCAGCAGAGCUGAAUGCCAGAGGCACGGCACUGUCAGUCGCAUCCUUCCCAGGUGUGUUUGUCCUCCCAGUGCUGGGCUGUGGGGGUUAGGGAGCGGCCUGUGGGCUCUUCUGCUGGCUUCUUGAGAAACUGAGGCCCAAACAGCAUGAUUUGGUGUUUACCUAAUGAAGUUUUUUGCUGUUUAUUGGAAAAUUUGUUUAAUUAUCUCAAAGGUUACUAUUUAGAAUUCAUAUCAUAUGAAGUUACAUUUUCUUCCAGAGCAACGUAAGUAAGAAGAAACAGAAGGUAAACAAAAAAAUCCAGACCUAGUUUAGUUUCACUUAGUUUAGAGCACAGAGAAUAUGCUUGAUGAUAAUUCUUGAGAAGUUUUGCAAGUUUUCUUUCACUGAUUCCCUUUUCCACCCUUUUCCAAAUUUUUAGAUUUUAUCGUCUAAUUUUAUUUUAUCAACUAAUAGUAGCUUUGACAUUAAGUGCAUUGCUAAAACAAUUAGCAUGCACAAUUAAAUUUCUACUUAUACUAAUUUUUCUCUUCAUGGGAAGAAUUUUAUUUCAGCUCCUCAUCAUUUUAAAGCAAUCUGCAGAAAAAGUAUCAUUAGGAAAAUUAGGCUGAUGGCAUUUGGGGUGAGCUAAACGCACUGUUAAGCAAAUCAGAAAUUAGUGUAAAUUUCUUUCAUUUGACUUCAUUUGCUGUGGAUCAAGUUUGAUACUAAUGAUGAAAAACAGGUCAAGCUUUUAAAAAUAUUGAUGUCUUUCCGCACAACAAAACUGAAUAAAAAUGCAAAAGUAAAACCUAGAUUAUUUUUUUUUCAUGAUCUAAACUGGAAUAUUUUUAAUAAUUCUUUUUUCUAUUGAAACCAAAGUGCAGUCUGUCUUAGAGAACAUCAUGUGUACAUGAAGAGCCUUCAAUGUAUCGGAAACAGGGCAAGGUAUGCCUUGUGUGUGCCAGCAGAAGGCAGAGAGACCUUGGUGGAGCUGUGAAUAUCCACAUCUGCCUGGUGCCAAGAUCAGGUUUUUGUUCACUGUGCUGCUCCAGAAGUGCAGAAAAAAAAGUGGAUGAGUUUAGUCCAGCAUGAUAACUGAUAAUAUUUGGGAUCAUUUGUACCUAAUGACUUGUAUUUUGCUGCUUCACACUGAGCUCAGAUGUUGCUGCAUUUUGGGAUGCUCCCUGAGUCUUGUUUUGGUGCAAAACCACUUCCUCUGUGGCACAGCUGGUCCUUGGCCUUUGCUAGUGCAUGGCUUAUGUGUAUUGUGAAAAGGCUCAGUACCUGGAUUAUAUCUUGUGAUGGGACAAAUAUGUAAAGGGUAGGAGAGAAAAGAGAAGAAAUUAAAUGCCACAAUUCUGCAGUUACUUAUAUACCUGUCUAAUAGCAGUUGGAGUAUUCAGGGUAGAGGAUUACAUGUCAUCAGUACACUUGGGGUAGUAUGGAAAUGUAUCCUGUGGGCAAUAAAACACCAAGGCAUAUGGAGAAGCUGCUGCUGACUAGCAAAAUAGCAAUCAAUAGAUAAUACAAAAGGAGAAGAGAACAAACAUACAAGUAAACCAACCAACCAACCAAAAACAAACAACAAAACAAAACAAAACAAACAAACAAACAGACAGAAAAAUACAUUACCCCAAGAGUAUUCCAGAAAUUUUGCUAUUUGUUGAAUCACUUAACAUGGUGUUUGGUUGCAUCAAUGUCCUCUGUCAGAGCAUUUUUGCAUCAGAAACCAAUGCAUUAUUUACAAUGUAAACGAUCAUUUUGUAUUUAUUCAAAAGCCUUUUCAAUUGUGCUUUGUUAAAUCAUGAGUAAAGCCCUGAAGACAGAAGUCUCUGGACAGUCUGUGCUGCAUACUGCUGCAGCUCAUGCCCUCUUCCUCUGAAGUCAGCAAAAGCCACAGCAGGAGAACACAAGAAUACCUGGGCCCUUUUCUGUGCCUAUCUGAUAAGACCCUGAGUGUAUCAGGUACUAUGGCAAAAUGUUGGAAGGUUCUGAAGGGCUGGUGGUUUCAGCAGGAGUGUGAGUACUCAGAAGAUACACGGAUUGGUGAGACUAAAAGCCCAUCUCACUCCUAUGAGCCCAACGUGAGAGAAGGUGAUCCCAUGCAGGAGGUGCGAUUGAAGGUAAGAUUGAGAAAGGGUUGAAGAUGAAGCAGAAGAUAAGUCCCAUGCUCAGAAUCUCCUGAUCAAAGACAGCCAAAUACUGAAAGUUUGCUUCACUGUAUUUUCCUUCUCGCCUUUCACUGGAUGUGAAUGAACAGGGAAAUCUUCCACAUACUCCCUCAGUGUAUAAAAAAAGAUGUGCUUUGAUUUGAGAAUGGGAUGCCGUUUUGACUGGAAUGGAAGAAAGCAUGUCAGUAGUUUAACAGUUGUAAAAUUAGAAGGAAAGAAAACCCCAAAGAGAUGAGAAAAUAACUAGUAUUAAAGCAAUAGAAUAGUUUUAUGCUAUAAUAGCAUUCUGUGCAGCUUAAAGCAGCUCAAAGCAAUGCUUUUCACACAGUAUCUGCCAAAUCCUAUCAGGAGUGUAAGGUGACAUUAUGAAGUCUCCAGAUGUAUUUUCAUGUCAUUGGGCUGAUUUGUGUCAUUUGAUGAAUUGCAUGUUUGUAAAAUCAAUGUUAUUCACCCUGUGUAUUUUGCUUUUGUCAAAGUUCUCUGCUACAGACAAUAGCAAUUCAUAUAAGAGUUAUCACUUCAUAAGAUCUUACCAUCACUUUAUUAAAAAAAUUAAUUUUCCAGUAGUGUUGGUAUAAAAGAUUAACGGGGUACAAGAAGAGACAUUAGGUAAAUUCUCUUUAAUUUUGCCUAAUCACAUCUGCUAUUUUUUUAACAUGAGGCAAAAGGGAAAAUUAAAUCUGCAUGAGAGGCGCAGGACAAACUCUUGUUCUCUUGCUCAUGGCAGCUGAGCCCAGGACGGGUCCAUUAACCCCUGAUGUGGCUGGGGGAUGGCUCAAUCCCAGCCUGCCUGGGCUGGACAUGUCACAGGCAAUCAGCUCGAUCCUGUGUUACCUCUCAGGGCUUCUCCAGCUCCUUUCAAGGAAGAGAACGGGCAUGGUGUGCUGAACUCGAGGUUCUGAGGAGUACUCACCAGUGGUGAGAUGAACCCACCUCUGCUGAGCACUAGGUAAGACGUGCACCUGGGCUGGCAGGAAGGGCUCUGUGUUUGUGUAGGCACCCCAGUGAAGUGAUAGGUGGGGCUUUGUCUUCAGCAGAUGUGUGCAAUAAUUAAUCCUGUGAAGGCUUAGAAACCAGAAAAAUGUCUGCAGCAGGACACUGAGUGGGAAUGCUUUUAAUAUGCUCUUGAUAGGUGCUGGUGAUUUUUUAGCUGUAUUGAAUUAUUUAGAUGGAGCCUUUUGGUCCUCCAGGAUCUGUGCUGAAAGUGCUGUGGUAGGCAUUAUUCCUCCGAUUUGAGCAAUGACCUUGCAAGUGAGGAACAACUGCCUGUUACAGCUUAUUGCCAUAGGUAAAAUCGUUCUGGCAAGCACAAGAUAAAAAGAAGAGCAUCUUAGUAGUAAUAUCACUUGCGACAGCGCGUUGUUUACAGGUUUAAUGAUCGCUUGCAGAUCAAUGUACAUUGCAGGAAGUCUCGUUCAUCGCAGUUUUGACUUGAUCAUUACCCUGUGGCAAGUUCUCCACACCUUUCUGACAACCAUCUGCACCCCCCCAGCAGUUUCCUUUGAGCAGUGCCUCCAUGAUGCGACCACCUCACACCUCCCUCUGGAAAGCCUUUGAAAUACCUACAGACAAACACAGAUCAGUUACUUGUCCUUUAAGGUGCAAAGGGAGAGAGGUGCAUCACUGCUGUUUCCUGAAGCUGAAGUGUUGAGGACAUGCAUCAAAUCCAUGUAGUGGAGGAGCAUCACAUGGGAAACACAGCCUUCAAGAGAGAUUUUAAUGGCCAUCAGUGGUGCAGAGACCAUGCACCAAGCAAUGCUCAUUCUCCAGAUAUGCUCAGAGGUGGCCGGGCAGCCAAGGAGCAAACAUCCCUGCACUGACCCUGCACUGGCAGCAUCCUGGUGGCCUGGACCGAGGGAAGUAAGCAGGCAAUAAGAGCAGCCGGCACUUUGAAAAAGUGAUGGAAGAUGAAACUCCAGUAAGAGAUCCUGCAUCUUAACAGAGUUGUCAGCAAAUGACUUCUGUCCCAAUGUUUUGGUGCCAUUUUUCCUGAGCUGCCUGUGUAAUCGAUGGUGAAUCUUUACAUGCCCAGAGUGAGUUACUCAAAUCCAAAGCCGUUCUGGAAACGGUCUGUCUGACAGCCUUUUUAUUGGCAAAGAAGCUAUUUAAAUGAGAAACCUGUGUGAGAGAUGAACUGGCUGCCCCGUGCGAUGGCAAGCGGAAGCUGAUGAAUUCUGCUCGGGCAACCAGGAAAGAAGUAGUCAAAGGGACAAGGCUGAUGAACUGAGCUUAUUAACUUGACUUGGUGGUGAUGAGAGUGGUAUUGACAGAAAGGCUGCAGUAGACUUCAAACACACUUCCUGAAGUCGUGAGUUGAGAGCGCUGCUUUGGCAAAAAGUGGGACCUGCUUUACACGGGGAUGCAAAGUCUGCAGCGGGAGCCUCAUCGUCAGGAGCUGAGCACAGGUCAGGAGUUGAAAGCAACGAAAUAUAUCCAUCUCCUGCAGUGGGUGGGAGCUGGAGACCAUCAAAGCCAGCCCCACUGUGGGCAUAAUCGAGGUGAGUGCUGAAUCACGGGAUGAAAGGGACCUGCUGGAGGAACGAGUCCGCUUGCUUGCUAUUCACAGCUCUUUAAAAGUGUGGGGAAAUUGACCAUCACUUCACUAUUCUCCUUGCUGAUUCAUCUGGCUAUAAACUUUUGAACAGGUUGCUUACUGCUCCACUCAGCUUAUUCUCUAUUAGGGUAGAUCUACAGUCAAGUGGUCCUUAAUGAUACACAAACAUCCUAAUAACAUUUGUAAAUUGAAUCCUGGAGCUGACUGGGACUAUCUCUAAGUGUCCAAUGUGGAAAAUAAUUUCUAAAGUCCAAGGUGCCACCAAAACACCUUUACCAUGCUGAAAUAUGUAGUAUAACAAUUAUUAUUUUUUUCUUCUUACAGAGGACUGCUCCUUUGUAGUUUUCUUCCUGAGAUGGCUUCCUUAGCCUGGGAGACUACACGCCACAGCUUUUGCUUAGUAUGACUCUGACCUGCUUGUGCUUGAAUAAUGAGUUCUUGUUAUUUGUUGUUUUCUCUAUGCCUCUUUUACUUUCUGUGUGGACAAAAGCUAUCUAACUUCCACUAGUAACAUUUUCUGUAUCUCUGCAGUAUCUGCCCUCAUGUCCUGGAUGUACGCUGUGCGCUAGUACUAGUAGUGCUUGUCUUUCAUGACAUCCACUUGUUGCUGGUCCCCCAAGGACCAGCAGAGAAAUGCAGAGGAAAUUGACAGAUCUAAUUUGAUCACUGCUUUGUCAAAUAUACACUUAAACAUGUGAAGAUUUGUCCAGAAGAUUUCUGCCUCUUAUUACAUUUCUUCACGUUAAAAGGUACUUUUUGUUUGGUUGGUUGGUUUGUUGGUGGUGGGUUUGUUUGUUUUUAAUGAAGGUGAAAGAACUAAGUGAGGCAACCUGAUAUCUUCUACUAAGCUGUCAGUUUAAUAUGUUCUGCCAAUGUCAAUACUGUCUAGUCAAAGCACCAAAUCCUGGUCGUCUCCAGGUGAACAUCCCUUUUUUGUGUCUGUUUGCAAGCCAGGGGCUGUGCUUUCCAGUGUGUUUCCUAAGUUGUAGUCCAAUGCAUGUUGUUCUUGGCCAAGUUUUCUGUGCAGUGGGAUAACGGAAAGACGUAGAUCCCGGUUGUCAACUCAUUCUCAGUGGAGAAAAUGAACAAUUGUAGUUCUUUAAAUGGUGAAGAGGAAUUAGUAUUGCUUGUUACAGCUCUCAUAAUAAGCAAGGGUUUCAUGGUGGAGGAGUUGCACAAACCCACCAUUUCCCCCAAUGUCCAUAUUGGACUCCUUCCCAGGCAGUCCCGCGUCACCACGGGGCUUUGUGGGCUGCGUGGGAGGGUUCUGCUGCAAAGCUCUUCUGCUCCGACCCACGGUGCCAUCUCGGUUGUCACAGAGACAGAGAAAUAGCUUAUCUGGGAAUGUAUUUCUUGGUGUGGUUUACGAAGGAAGAACUGACUUUCAGUUUUAUGAGAGUCGUCCUUGUAAGCCUUGCCUGUGUAUUGGUUUGUAUGAGUGGUUUGAACUUGAGGCUUUAGUCAUUAGCUCUUAACAAAUUUGUUAGUAUUUGAAACUAUGGCCAUCUCUUCUGCAACAGAAAGCAUCUUUGUUUCAAUGCCUUCCCCUUUUCCCUCCGUGUUAUCCCUGCUAUUUUUUUCAUGUUACUGCUCCUGGAGAAUAUUGAGGCAUUCUCUCAAAAGAGAUUCUUGUAUUUAUUGCUGAACAUUAUGGUUACUAUUGUGUAAAGAAUAUGUGAAAAUGUUUAAAUCAGCUCUUUUGCAUUCACUAACUUGUAUAAAGCCUUUAGAAGCAUGAGAAUUAGAGGGAGUGUCAUUGCCUGGUCUAAGCAAUAGCAGAUACACUACUUUGAGGGCUAAAGGAACUUAUCAGUAUCCAAAUUAUUCUACAUAUAAAUCAUUGCCAGGAGGUCUGGAUCACAUGCUGAGUUUUUUGGCCUCACCCAUUUGUCCUCAGUGAAGUCUCCAGAAGCUCUCCAUGAGGAUAUCACAAAGGAAAGGAUAUUGAAAUUUCUGGGAGGUUAAACCAUACAUCUAAUUGUGGAAAGCACAGGCAUGGUGGUACUCCAUGUUAAAAAUAUCUGUCUGUACACUUAGGGAGGUGAAGAAUCCUGUAAAUCAACACCCAUGUCUAUUCUGUCAUAGCCAUACAAUUUAGGGGUUACCUUAGAAUACUUACACAGAUGCAGGUGUUGUUUUCCUAUUUUUUAACUUUUUGUUUUGGUAGAAUUAGUAUUUGCUGAAUUGAUGUGUAUAAAUUUUUGUACUUUCUGUUGCCUAUGGCUAUUGCACUUCAGUCUUUGAUCUUGCACGCUAAGCUGGUUGGAGGUUGGCCAGUACUUGGAUGAGAGAUUUCAUACGAAUUUCAUGAUGCUGGGGGGAGUUGUUUUUGACUGGAGAUGGCACUUUCUGCUGUGAGUCAAUGCUGAACAAAUACCCCUGGAUGGCACCAGGGUGCCUGGAAUGCCACAGGCUCCAUCUGUAGAGGAGACAUAAAAUGUGGCCAUGCAAUCUGAUUUCCUAUGAAUUACACAUGUCCCGGCCAAAAUAAGAUCUAUGUAAUUAAUCCUGCAGUCAAAAGUUUCAGAUAAUGUAUUAUCACUAUCUGUCCUAACCUAUUGCUGAGGUUUUCUGUGCACAGCUGCAGCAUUCCUGAGAAGGAUGAAGAAGGAGAUCACGUCUGUGGACAGAUAUAGUCAUUAUGACAGCAUUUAUUGUUGUGUAUGCCUAGUGUGUGGUGAGGUGUGCAGGUACAAAACAGGUAACCGUAUAAAUGUUUAGCCAGUCAAGAAAGCCUGUUAACUCCCACUUGAAUAGAGACGUGGUUGUUUUUGUACACACCAUGGCCCAUAGACCCCUUCCUUUCCCAAAGGGACAUGUAAUGAAUCUUGGCAAAAGAGGUGCUUGGGGCUGGAUCCACAAAUCUCUGACAGACCUGGGGAGUGCGCUUUGAAGGGCUCUCUGGUUCUGCAUGGGGAAUGUCCUGUGGUGGGAGAUUUCCCUACAUGAAUGUGGAAAACAGUGGUGAAAAACUGGCCGUAAUUUUUAAAGCAUGGACUUUUAUAGCAAUAUUCUGCAAACGGUGUCUCAUUUGCUAUUAGAGAGUGACCCCUUAAUCACAUUGACAAGUAAUCACUCACAUGAGUAAUCCUAUUGACAUCAGUUGGACUGGAGCUGCAUCAUUAUAAUUUAGCAAAUAACUACUCAGUUGUUUAGAAUAUAAAUGCUUCUAAUUUAUGUGGAAAUUGAAGGCAUUUCUAUCUCAUUCAUUAAAGAAAACAUGUUGUGAAUUAUCACUUACUUAACAUAUCCAAGGAAAGGCAGUUUCAAAGCAGCAUAAUGCAAUAAAUAGAAUGAAUCUUCUUUUUAUUUAUUUAUUUAUUUAUUUUUGCAACCAGUGGCUAUGUGAGAUUCACGGUUAAUGUUUCCUGUGUUUUUCUAUUACCCAAAUGGUAAACUCAAGCUGAAUUUAACGCUGGCUUCUUUCCAGAUAAGUCAUUGUCAGUGGUGAAGACCUUUUGUUUUGAAUUUGCUUAGUUUAUUGGUUAGUGCUGGAUGACUCCAGGGUGGUCCUGCAGAGCUGCAUGAAUUUAUAGAGUUAAUAUGAGUGAGGAGCAAAAAUAUUUUUCUGCUGGAGAUUUGCUGAUACAAUGCUUGGGUUAUUCAAAGAGUGUGGACAAGCUGUAAUAACCUGUUGCAUUUUUUGUGGACUGGAGUAUGACUCCACUUUUUUGGAAGCCAUGAAAGCCAUUGUUUUGCCAAAUUCUAGUUUGGAAAUUGGAUCUCCUCUCCUUAAACUUCCCUGCAGUUCCAUGCUAGUCAAACCUUGCCUUUAGCACCUUUUCCCAAGCGGUGAUCAGCAUUCAGCUGCUGCUACGUUGAGCUCAGAGGACAGUCAGACUUAGUCCAUGUUUUGGGGUCCUCCAGGUGGAAUACUGCAAUAGCCAGCACCACCACUGCCCUUGUUGACUGUCUUUGCACAAGCAUAAUAAUUUUCCCUUAUUUUCAGCCUGGUGAAAUGUUAGGGGUUUAAAUUUUUGAUUAGGCUUGAAGGUGGUAGGCGUUGCCUAGAUAAUAGUUUUUUAUAGCUUUUAAGGCAAUUUAAGACAAGUACUGUUUUCCUCUGAUCUGUCCAUCACAAACUCAAUCCAGCAUUCAGUGAGGUGGUGGGGAAGCCUUUUCCCUUGGUGCCUCUGGGGUCCCAUGUGUGUGAGGGGUGCCAGACCCUGGGGUCGUGGACAGUGACCCAGGCUGAGACUGCUUGGUGUCUGGCAGCCUCAGAGCUGAGGUGAGACAGGGAAGAGCUGAGAAGCUCUUUGGGUUUCCCUCUUUCUCAGUGGGAUCUCAUUUUGCCCUGUGUACACUAGAUAGCACGUACUGCAAAGAGCAAUACCUGGUGCUGCUACCAGCUCAACUGCAAGGUGUGGAGUGGGCUGGGGAAACAACAAAUGUCUUCUAGAAUAAAGAGAGAAUGCAAUGAAGCAUAUGAACAACAAGAAAAUCCAGACCCAAGUGUGUGUAAAUACAUAUGGCACAGCUUUUCUCAAGCCACACUUUUAUUUGUUUUGGUAGCAGAGUUGGAAUGCUAUUUUUGUCUCUUCUCCCUUUGUUCUUAUUGUGAAACACAUUGUCAGAGCAUUCCUAAUCAGGAAGAGAGGAGUUUCAAAUAAGAGAUUGUCUCUUUUUCAGGGCAUUCUCCCACACCUGAGAAAUGGAUGCAUUUUUGGUAAAUACUAUUUUUUUUUUUUUAGGAAAAAUUGUGUGCCAGCUGAAAUUCAUGCAUAAUUUCCUGCAUAGCCAGGAUAGAUAGCUUAAAAAGAAAUCUCUGUAGUAACACAGGAAGAAAAACAAACUGAUAACUCCUGCCAGAUUGAUGGCUUCUUCCUUCAUCUAAAUCUUUAUAGAUUAGCAUGUCUAUUUUCUUUUCAUGGAUAUGUUUGUUUGCACUAUAUCAUCUAACCUAAUCUGUAAGGGAAGUAUAUUUAUCCUCGAGCUGUGAGGCAUUUAUACUGUUCACUUGUCACCAAGAAUAAUGGAGAGGAUAGGUAAGAUAAUUUCAACUGUAUUAAGGGCUGAGAGAUGACUAUAGGUAUUUUGAUAAUGGGACACUCAGAGUGAAUAAACUGAAAUGCUUUUGUUACAUAUUAGCUAAAAAUAUACCUUCCGUUAUGUAUUUUUCCUGUUUUUCUUCUGUCCCACUGCUGAGCGAGGGCACCUGGUGUUGCUCAAAUCCAGGUAGACAUCAGUAGCCACUGUGGGCUCAGCCAAGGGACCACCAGGGUGAAAGAUGGGAGGGUGCGUGAGGAAGAGAACCUCCAGUUCACAGACAGUGGUUUAGUUACAGUGACCUCAGGUUGCAAUUUCCCCACAGUUCCCCCCCUCUCUUGUAAGUGGCAAAUAGUUCUGAAGACGGGGGAGACACCUUUGGGCACAGUCAGUGCCAGGGGUGAUGCAAAAUUCCUGGUCACAAAGGUACUUCUGGAUGGCAGUCGGCUGGGGAUUUAUCUCCAGACCUAACAAAGCAGAUGAUGUCUGAAAGCCCUCUCCCAGUCUUUAUUCAGUGGGCAGCCCACGUGCAGGUAAGACUAUGUUAGCUAUCUGCUAUUUCGUAUUCAGGUGUCAAAAGAGCUUUCCUGCAGCCCUGCUGCUUUGCCAGAUGCUCUCCAUUUUCUGUGCAUUUGAUCCUUCCUUUCUAAGCAUAACUCUUUGUAACUGCCUUUGCUACCUUUCAUCUUACUGAUUUCACAGUACUUCCACAAUCAUCAAGAGUGUUUUGAAUUCUGAUCCUGUCCUCCAAAGUGCUUGCAACCACUCCCAGCUUGCUGUCAUCCACAAAUUACAUUAGUAUCUUCUCUACUCCAGCAUCUGAGCCUGUUCAGGAGCCUCCACUUCGUCUGUCCUCUCAGCUUCACAGGGGACACUAAUAACCACUCUUUGAUUGGUGGUUUUCAAUAUAUUUGUAGCUACUUUAUGUUAGUCUUAUUUAGGCUAUGCUUUUUUUUAGCUUUAUUUAUAAAAUUGUUUUAUGGAAUUGCAUAUAAAAUCUUGCUCACUGAGAUAUGCCGUACCUCGUAUGUCUGCAGUGAUGAGGUCACUUACUCCCUCCUGUGCUUUCCCUCCCCUUCUCUGCCCAAAUCCUCCAUAAGUUAGACUUUUUGUUAUUUAUUUAUUCUUGAGAAAUUUAUAAACUUAUAUUGGCUAUGUCUCUUGGGCCACUGUCUAAUCUUCUAGGUGAUGACAACUUGAUUGAUGAAUAAUAGAUUUCAGUAUCUUCGCAGCUGCCAAAGGGAGUUGUAAUUUCUAAAUGCAUCCCUUAAGAUAGAAGUAGUGUUUGUCCUUCUCCACGAGUUUGUGUUUAAUCAGCUCAGUUGUCUUUCCAGUAUUGAAAAGCUCUUUUCAUUGUAAUUUAUAACAGAAAUAUUCAGAAAUAAGCUAUUUACAUUGUAUGACAGUGUAGAUUAUGGGUCUAAUGUUUAGAGUGCUACAGAAAUUCUGUAAGUGAUAUUCCUGGCUCUAGAAAAUUUUAUUAUUUAGUAGGCAUGGUAGACAACUGAAAGAACUGAGAACAAAUACAAAGGAAAAAUAAUUAAAGCGCUGAGGUUUAGAUUAGUGGCACAACAGAGGUUGAGUAUUUUGGAAUUUUUUGAUGGAGUAUGAAAAAUAUGGAAAAAAUUAAGCUGGUCACUUGAAGAUACUCCAAAUUGAAAAAUAAUAUGAAAUGUAAUUUUAUCCUUUCAAAGACAGGGAUUUUUUUAUAGUCACUAAAAUCCCGCCCCCAAAACUCCAAAAAGAGAUUUUUUUUUGUUUUGUUUUGUUUCUGUUAUUUUGUAUUAUAUUUCCAAUGUGAAAAUUGAUAUACCUGACUCAUAAUGUUAGAAAAACAAGCAAACAAACAACAACUUGGGGAAAGCCAAAUUCCACCUUCUACUAUUACUAUGAAUACAAACAAAAAGUGGUUAUGAAUUACUUUCCAUUGAUAGAAGGAAUUUAUUUAUCCAUUUAUUUUACUGGAGUGUCUAUUGAAAUUGAAGUUCUUGAUUAAUGAUCUGCAGGAAGUAAAGCUGAAGAAAUCUGCUUUUGUAACCACAAGGAAACUCUAAAAGGAUGUGGUGGCUUACACACUUACCCUAACCAAGACUGGAGAUAUAAAGCAUGCAAACACACCUGAGCAGAACGUCAUAUAGAGGCAACCUCCCCACAAUGAAUGGCUCUGAGCCCAGGCAUCCCUUUGUUGCGGUAUCAGGAAAAAAACAGAUAGAUGUUGCCAUUUGCCUAGGUGACUGAGAAGCAAUUUCAAGCAACAGGGAAGAUCUGCCCUGGUACUGUUCAUCACUUUGUUACUAGCAGAGAAAUUAGUCACGAUGUAAAUAAAUAAUGGAGGGAUUGUAAAAGGCGGGGUGAUGCAGCACUUUUCUCCAUCUUUUGAUUGCUGCCUUGCAGAAGCCAUUGCCAUGGAGAAGUGCAAUCUGCAGCGCGGUAGCUUUCCUCUGCAAAAAGAUGGCAGCAUGGUUAGGCACAUCACCUUCUGUGAAUGCCUCCCAGUUUUAUAACCAGAAUGCCCUUCUGAUUUUAAAAACAAAUCUUUUAGCAGCUUGUAAAGGGCUUCUCCCUCCGAUCACCAUAUCCCCACACCUCUGCUGCAGGAGGCUUUCUUUUCAGCUUCCUUCUGGUUUCCUACGGACUGGAAAGUCCAGAGGUGCAAAACAGCUGUGAAAGUGGUAGCACAUGCUGCAUCUCCACAAGAGCAUGGCUGGGAAUUUGUAACUUUAUUUUGAAUCCAAUUUUGCAGGUUAAAAGGAUGAAAGUGCACUGUGUAAAUAUUCAAGGUCCGCAUGCCUCUCUGGAUCGAGAUUGUUGCAAAAUUAAAUUUCAUUUAUUAAACCAGAGCAUUACUUCUGUUGAGAGACCACCACCGCUUCUCCCCAGAAGUAUGCUUAAAAUUUUCCAUGGUCUUUUGAGGUACCAAUAAGUUAUUCUUAAUAUUUGCUGCUUUGUACUUCCAUAUAUACUGUUUGCUUAUAUUAACGGUAAGCAUGUUCUCUGCUUUCUGUAACUGCUACCAGCAGAAACUUCAUUUCUGAGAGCCAAACAACACAAGUCCUGGGGAUUUCAGCUUGAGGAAAACAAAUCUUAUACACACAAGAGUGUUUUGUAGGCCUAGAGCACAGCUAUCUGUCACUUAAUAAAAGAUAUAUCCUGCGAUUUUUUGGUCUGCAGACAGACCCGAAUAGAGGUUUGUGGUUGUGCCUGAGCUUGGUGCCACGCACACCUUUCCAGUUUAGCUUCCUUUCCAUUUCAAGGUCAUGGGAAAAUUCCUUUUGCUGCUCCUUCCACUUCAUAUUCAUUCAUCAUUUCAUAUGGUAACUACACAGAGUGGUGUCAUGUGUUGUGCAGCUCAACCACACUGAAAGCUGCCAAAGUUAAAAAUCAAUUUUUUCUCUGAACCAGAAACAAGGAGCUGUUUCUUAUCACACUUCAAGAAAGUGAAAAGUAGAACUAGUUCAAAAGCUGUGGGUUUUAGUUUUCCCAUUCCUCAUAUGUCCUUGGGAAUUCAGAAACUUUUUGUGAUCAUUUUAGACUGAAAGCAUGAGCUUUUGAUGAUUUCCUUAGAAAAACAACCUUAAAAUGCUGCUCAAUAUAUAACCAAUAACAUAAUUUGAGAGGUCACUAAAUCAUGUUCCUGUACAUCACUUCUUUUUGUUUCUACCACUACCCAUCCUGAACAGGAGGAGCAGUUGUGUGACACUGGGGGCUGGAUGAUGGAAAUUCAGCCCAGAUUUGGCAUUUGAAUUUUCUUGUGUUCCAGAGUUAAGCAGAAAUGAAUGCUAAAAGUCACUUUAACUAAUGUGUAGGAUGCUUUUCCUCACUGCGAUCUGUAGCUGGUGGCUUCACAGGUAAUGCCAAAGGGCUUGAUCCCAGAGUUAAUAAAGACCCAGACAUUUAUUGAUUUA